rnacentral:lncRNA from 1 species
GGUUUCGUCUUCUUUCUUUCUCCCUUCAGUCAGGUUGUUAGAGUUUCAUCGUGAUUCUUCUCGUUUCGAUGCUAUUCCUUCGGGUAUCGAUUUCUCAAGGUCAGGUAGAUGCCGAAUGGGGUACCUGCAGAAGGCAUUCCGACACUUAAGUGUAAAAAAUGUAUUAGGAACUCAGGAGUGUACAACGGUAACAAUGUACCUUUCUUCUUGAAAUGUGUGCUAUUUAUAUUAUUUUAAUGAGUUUAGGACCGGAUUAGUGAAAUGGAUCACGUUUAGGAGCGUACUAUCUAAUUCUUAAUGGCGGUUUAGCUUUACUGACCUUGAUUUGAGUUAAUGAAUUAAGUGUGUCGGUCGGCCUACACGUCCGUACAGGUCUCGAUCAGGGAGACCAAGUCGUGAUAAUGACCGUCGGUCCAUACGGUACAAAAUCUAUCUUAACGUCUUUUCUUUUUACAUUUAUUUAUAUACUAUAAGAUGUUUUUGAAGAGAAUGCAAAAUAUGAUUAAACCCAAAGCAUCCACAUUGAGCCUACAAUGACUAGCACAAGUGAUUCAUCCCUAACAUGUGUAAUGCAAGAUGAAGGCAUAGAAAUAGAAGGUUAAUUUGAUAUGACAGAGGUUUUACAGGAAGUGAAGUAUUGAAGCCUUUUGUGAGGUCUUUUACUUGUAGGCCAAAGUGACCCUACUGGCCACCAUCUUGCAACCUUUCUCCAUUCCUCUUCCUCCGUGUGUGACCGACAAAAUAGUGCUUGCCUCAAUCUUGUAAAAUUUGUUUACACAUACAGAUCAAGAAAGAAGCUCUUGCAAGUUGUAAUUGAAAAUUGAGGGUGCACAAGUCCCCAUUAAGCAGCACAUUAAUUAUUUGCUUCACUUGAGGCUACACUACGUGUGUUACUUUCGAAUCUGUUUUGUGGGGUUAUUAUUUCUACGAAUUGCUGAAGCCGUGUGUGUAGCAAGACUUGAGCUCAAUAAUAGUGCCUCCGUGUCUUGUGAUUUUGUGGUUUGCUUCCAGGGAACCAUGCCUCAAGUUCAUGUACUUCGACACCUCAUACUUAAAUUGUAGUUGGAUUCAUGGGGCACUGAUCCACAAGAUCAAUUUGAAAAGAGGUUCGAACCUUCUGCUUCCAUUAGCAGACAAAAUUGAACAUCAAAUUAUUGGCUCAGCACAAAGUUCUUUAAUAUGCAUUUUGUUUUGAUUAUCCAAAUUCACUCAUAAAUCAUAAUCUUCCUCUCAGACCAGUUAUCUGCAUAUUUGGGGUUAUAAUGGCACAGUUAACAAAUUCUGAGUUAUUAGCAGAACAGUGAGUGUACCUGCUUUUUUUUUUUGUUUAUCAAAGAGAGAAAACAAACAUUGAGGGGAAUUGAAGUUAGAUUCACAAUGGUUAGUAUUUGUCCCUAUUCAACGUUUUAUUCUGAAGGUUUGUUUAUACUAAAAGUGUGCAUUGUUAGCAAUCUAUAUGUACUCAUUUUCUUGAUUGAUCA